rnacentral:rRNA from 1 species
UCCGUAGGCGGGCAAUUAAGUAAGAGGUGAAAUCCCACAGCUCAACUGUGGAACUGCCUUUGAUACUGGUUGUCUUGAGUUAUAGUGAAGUAGAUAGAAUAUGUAGUGUAGCGGUGAAAUGCAUAGAUAUUACAUAGAAUACCGAUUGCGAAGGCAGUCUACUAACUGUAUACUGACGCUAAUGGACGAAAGCGUGGGGAGCGAACAGGAUUAGAUACCCUGGUAGUCC